UAUAAGGGUAGCGGUGGGUUUCCAUAUUUAAUGUUUGAUUAUUCGUUUUAUUUUAAAAAAUAUAAUUAAUAUUUUUAUUAUUAUUAGAUGAUAAAACAUGAAUAUACUUUAUGUGUGACUGAUUUUUUAAGAAAAAUUCAUAAUUUUUCAAAUAAGACGGACGAUUAAACGUUAGAUAUGAAAACUUACAAACACACUUAUA
rfam:Oryza rufipogon genomic scaffold, chr01